UACGUAGGGUGCGAGCGUUAAUCGGAAUUACUGGGCGUAAAGCGUGCGUAGGCGGUUCUCCAAGUCCGUUGUGAAAUCCCCGGGCUUAACCUGGGAAUGGCAGUGGAAACUGGCGAGCUUGAGUGUGGCAGGGGGGGGUGGAAUUCCGCGUGUAGCAGUGAAAUGCGUAGAGAUGCGGAGGAACACCGAUGGCGAAGGCAACCCCCUGGGCUGACACUGACGCUCAGGCACGAAAGCGUGGGGAGCAAACAGG
rnacentral:rRNA from 1 species